rnacentral:rRNA from 1 species
GAUGAACGCUGGCGGCGUGCCUAAUACAUGCCAGUCGAGCGAACAGACGAGGAGCUUGCUCCUCUGACGUUAGCGGCGGACGGGUGAGCAACACGUGGAUAACCUACCUAUAAGACUGGGAUAACUUCGGGAAACCGGAGCUAAUACCGGAUAAUAUAUUGAACCGCAUGGUUCAAUAGUGAAAGACGGUUUUGCUGUCACUUAUAGAUGGAUCCGCGCCGCAUUAGCUAGUUGGUAAGGUAACGGCUUACCAAGGCAACGAUGCGUAGCCGACCUGAGAGGGUGAUCGGCCACACUGGAACUGAGACACGGUCCAGACUCCUACGGGAGGCAGCAGUAGGGAAUCUUCCGCAAUGGGCGAAAGCCUGACGGAGCAACGCCGCGUGAGUGAUGAAGGUCUUCGGAUCGUAAAACUCUGUUAUUAGGGAAGAACAAAUGUGUAAGUAACUAUGCACGUCUUGACGGUACCUAAUCAGAAAGCCACGGCUAACUACGUG